GCAGCCCACACCUCCUCCCGGGAGCGCCCCUGCCUGGCACUGCUGGAAACUGAGGCUCGUGGCGCAUGGACCCGUGACCGCGGUCACCCUGGGAAAGGCCGCGCUGGCUCUCGGACCCGUUCGGAUUUUAAUGAAAAUUAACAUCACUGCCUCCCUUGAGAGCUGGUUUUGGAAGGGUCUCUGCAGAGGACACUGAGGAAACUCUUUGUUCAGUAAGCGCUUGAGAUCUCAGCACUAGAGCAAUAGGGAGUGGUCAGUCACUGCAAUCCCUGGGUCCACGCUGGACAGGUGAAUGGAGGAGCCAGGAAAAAAGGAACCACUGCUGACAGUAAACAAGAUUAAUGAAUUAAUUAAAUAAUUAAUUAAAUUAAAUAAAACAAGAUUAAUGAAUCUCAUAAUGUCAAAUAUCAUCAGUCACCUGGAGCCCCCAAAGACUUGCGUUGUCUUUAAAAAAAAAAAAAAGAAAUAGGCACAUGGGAAUUAGAUUGCUACAAAC